UCUGACAGGCUGAAGGACAGAAUGAAAAGAGCUGAAUUAAAUUGAGCUGACUGAAGGGCAUCAGGUCACUAUGGACACUACAAAUCUCUGCCUCUUUCCUUCUCACCAGAGCUGGACUCUUGAUCUUGAGGACUUUCAUAAACAUGGUCUGGGACUCAUUACUUGGUAUCUUGGCCUGGGUCCCAAAACUACAGCAAAUGGUCUUGGUUUAUGGCCAAGAGAACUCAAGAAGUCAUUCAUAGAGGUGAUAAUUACCUCAACAGGAGAUUUCUGAAGUAAACAAAGAAUUGGCAUCAAUCUAAGAAAUGCUGGGUUUUUUUUUUUUUAACACAAAUGCUGGGUUCAGCCUGCUGGGUCAUUUUAUUGGGUUAUUUUUUAAUAUUUUUACACAGGUGCUGGGUAGUUUUUAUAUUACUGUCAAUACAAACGAUGAACCCCCUCACAUUCCUACCCAGCAAUUUUGGGUAGUCUGUGCCAAACCGGUUAAAACUGGAUUUGUCAACGGCCAUUUUGUGUUCUGUUCUGAGAGAAAACUUCUUGAGGGGAAAUUCGUGAAUGAAAUUAAGCUAACGUCUGCUUGGACAUUAGCCUUCUACAAACGCAGCGUGCACCGGAUCUACACUCAAAGCGAAUGAUGUGUCGGUGCCACCAUGGAAGUUUCACGGCCAGGGCUGAAACACGACGUGACAACGCUAUCAUGUGUAACAAAGAUGUUGUGGACUAAUUUGAUCUAGUGCGCUAGCAUCGUAGCUGUGGUCGCGCUAUGCAUUUGACCGGUUGAAACUUAAAUGUCUGACAGACAAGAUGGCACACGAUUCCCACUGGCUGCUCUUGCUGCUCCUGUCACAUCCUAAAACGUUACUAAAUGUUUUUGAGUGUUUUAUGAUUGUAAAAGACUGGUUUGCCAUUGAAUAAAAAAUGUUGUAUAUGAAUUUUUCAGAGAUUUUAGAGUGCAUUUUUAUUAUUUAAAAUUAAAAACUUUCCAUAUCAGGUUGAUGCCUGCAUGUGGCCAAAUAACCCAGAAGUCAUUUUUUUACCCAGCAUUAGGUGAAUAAAUGGCCCUUUUACCCUGUAAAGCCUGACAUACGAAAUAAUAGUCUUUUUAAAUGGAACAAGUUUAUAAAAAUAUAUACAUAAAGAAUAAAAAAAUAAGUUAAUAAAAAAAAAAAAAAAUCCCAAUAAUACGCCUAAUUUUAUGAUCAAAGUUCUGUAGUUGGAAGCCAUGAUAAUACAAUGAUAAUUGAGAGAUGUACAAAAAAACAUUCAUAAAAAGCCUGAUGUAUCAUA